UACGUAGGGGGCAAGCGUUGUCCGGAAUUAUUGGGCGUAAAGAGCUCGUAGGCGGUUUGUCGCGUCUGCUGUGAAAACUCGAGGCUCAACCUCGGGCUUGCAGUGGGUACGGGCAGAUUAGAGUGCGGUAGGGGUGACUGGAAUUCCUGGUGUAGCGGUGGAAUGCGCAGAUAUCAGGAGGAACACCGAUGGCGAAGGCAGGUCACUGGGCCGCAACUGACGCUGAGGAGCGAAAGCAUGGGGAGCGAACAGG
rnacentral:rRNA from 1 species